GUUUGCAGAGAGGCCGUGGCUACAAAAUGGAAGUGCUUUUGCGACCUGGGCUCCAUUUUAGGAAUUCUUGCCCGAUUUUAACCACUUGAACGCGGAAGUGGCUUUCCUAUUCUCUUCCAAGCCAGCCUUUAAUUUUAAACGCUGUAAUUAACAGUUCACAGGGGUCAAAUUCCUUUAUUCCGGAACAUUCCACUUUGAGAGGGAUCUGUCCUCUUUGGUCCCCUGCGUUUUCAAAUAUUUGAGGAAAGGUGUCGCCUCUUUUUCUGUGGAAAGAGGAAGCUCAUGAGCGCGAAACAGCAGGGGACGGAGGGCGAGAAGGGCUUUCUCAGGUUGCGGGUCGGAGGGCAGAAGCACAGUUCCCAGUACAGAGACCCGGACAGGUGGCUGUUUCUCACGCUCACUUUGGAUUGCUCCCUACGGCUUCCUCCGCAGCCAUGUCUGACAAACCUGGUAUGGCUGAGAUCGAGAAAUUCGAUAAGUCGAAACUGAAGAAGACAGAAACGCAAGAGAAGAAUCCAUUGUCUUCCAAAGAAAGGUCACCCCACACCUCCAACUCCUGCAAAUGAGCCCAUCCAGAAAGCUGUCUCUGGAGCACAUGCCUGUUUCCAUCUUCUCUUGCACAGUUUCAGGCCAUGUUUAAGGAUGGGAGAAGAUUGCCUGGCCUCCAGCCUGGAUGCCAGCCAGGAGAACUAUGAAUGCUUUACCAGUUGUGAGUUCCUCAAAUACACCCUGUUGGUGAAGCAGGGGGACUGUCCAGCUCCUGAGAAAGCCAGUGGAUUUGCGGCCGCCUGCGUUGAAAGCUGCGAAGUUGACAUUGAGAUGGUGUCUUGCUGUGUCUCUCAGGCUAGAGUGCAGUGUGCAGUGGCACAGCCUCAGCCCACUGCAGCCUCCCCAUCCCAGGUUCCAGAGAUUCUCCUGCCUCAGCCUGCCAAGUAGCUGGGACUACAGGCAUGCCCCACCAUACCCGGGUGUCCCCCUGAAGCCCAGAGAAGGGUUACAAUUUACAGAAUUGCCGUCUGGACAGCUGGAGAUCCAACCAACAUGUGAGAAUAAAAGGUGACAUGUUCCCUGUGCUCUGUGAGUUCAACUGACUGACAUAAGACCCAACUGACGGUACCAGUUUCGAGUGGCUGCUGUGAAUGUGCAUGGAACUCGACGCUUCACUGCCCCCAGCAAACACUUCUGUUCUUCCAAAGAUCCAUCUGCCCCACCAGUGCCAGCUAACCUCCGGCUGGCCAACUCCACCGUCAACAGUGAUGGGAGUGUGACCGUCACUAUAGUUUGGGGUCUCCCCGAGGAGCCGGACAUCCUUGUGCAUCACUACAAUGUCUUUUGGAGCUGGACAAUCAGCAGUAAGUCUCUUGUACCAACAAAGAAGAAGCAGAGAAAGACUACGGAUGGGGUGAGUGGGAACUGGAGGAAGGAAUGCUCUUCUCACAAAGGGUAUUUCCACUCAAGGCAACUGGCCUGAAAAGAGGCCUCUGCUAAACUGAGAGAUGCCAUGGAUACAGAAAAGGUUCCCUCCCAUUCAUUUCUACCGAGGAAGUUCACAGAAUGCAGGGGGCAUGCCACCUAUUUCACCUUUUAUAUUUUAGGUAGAAGCAACUGCAUUUAGACUGAGGGGUGACAGCAUGCUGGCAGCCCUCACAACCCUCGCUUGCUCUGGGCACCUCCUCGGCCUUGGCGCCCACUCUGGCCAUGCUUAAGGAGCCCUUCAGCCCCCUGCUGCACUGUGGGAGCCCCUUUCUGGGCUGGCCAAGGCCAGAGCCGGCUCCCUCAGAUUGCAGGGAGGUGUGGAGGGAGAGUCGUGGGUGGGAACCAGGGCUGCCCAGGGCGCUUGUGGGCCAGCGCAAGUUCAGGGUGGGCGUGGGCUCGGUGGGCCAGAUACUUGGAGCGGCCUGCCCCUGCCUGCAAGCCCCAGGCAGUGAGAGGCUUAGCACCUGUGCCAGCAGCUGCUGUGCCCAAUUUCUUGCCGGGCCUUAGCUGCCUCCCCGUGGGGCAGGGCUUGGGACUUGCAGCCCACCAUGUCUGAGCCUCCCCAGUGAGCACCGCUCCCUGCUCCAUGGUGCCCAGUCCCAUGACUGCCCAAGGGCUGAGUGUGGGCGCAUGCGCAGGACUGGCAGGCAGCACCACCUGCGACUGGGUGCAGGAUCCACUGGGUGAAGCCAGCUGUGCUCCUGAGUCUGGUGGGAACUUGGAGAACCUUUAUGUCUAGCCAAGGGAUUGUAAAUACACCAGUCAGCACUCUGCAUCUAGCUCAAGGUUUGUAAACACACCAAUCAGUACCCUGUGUCUAGCUCAGGAUACGUGAAUGCACCAAUUGACGCUCUGUAUCUAGCUACUCUGGUGGGGACUUGGAGAAACUUUAUGUCUAGCUAAGGGAUUGUAAAUACAGCAAUCAGCACUGUAUCUAGCUCAAGGUUUGUAAACAUACCAAUCAGCACCCUGUGUCUAGCUCAGGGUUUGUGAAUGCAGCAAUCAACACUCUAUCUAGCUACUCUGGUGGGGACUUGGAGAAACUUUAUGUCUAGCUAAGAGAUUGUAAAUACACUAAUCAGCACUCUGUGUCUAGCUCAAGGUUUGUAAACAUACCAAUCAGCACCCUGUGUCUAGCUCAGGGUUUGUGAUGCACCAAUCAACACUCUGUAUCUAGCUACUCUGGUGGGGACAUGGAGAACUUUUGUGUUGACACUCUGUAUCUAGCUAAUCUAGUGGGGACAUGGAGAACUUUUGUGUCUAGCUCAGGGAUUGUAAACGCACCAAUCAGCACCCUGUCAAAACAGACCAAUCAGCUCUCUGUAAAAUGGACCAAUCACCAGGAUGUGGGUGGGGCCAGAUAAGGGAAUAAAAGCAGGCUGCUUGAACCAGCAGUGGCAACCCGCUUGGGUCCCCUUCCACGCUGUGGAAGCUUUGUUCUUU
ensembl:lncRNA novel transcript